CUCUACCACAUACCACCCUUUUGGGAUUCUGAAAUGUCUUACUGAGCACUUUAUUCAAUCUAAAUUUAAAUAGAACUUUUCACCACUUCCCAAGAGAGAAACAACAAUGAAGGAGAUGAGAGCGAGAGGAACUGCACAGAGCCCAGUGACACCAGCCCAGGGUUAACACCACCCACAGGGGGCUGGGCUAGGACAGUCUGAUAGAGGCAAUUCCUCAGUUGUGUUUCCCUCUUGUCAGUGUCAAAAACAUGCUGUUCCAGGAAGCCUGCUGAGACAAGGAGAGUGAGAAACGUGCAGUAAAUACACCCAGAUGAUCCUGCAAUAAAAAAUAGUUCUUUCCAAGCUUCUAGCUUCUUAUUCUUGAUUAUCUACUGAAGGUUUCCCUAUGUCAACAAACUGGAGCUCAGCUGAAGAUUUGCCAUCCAAAAUAUGUUGACACUGUUUGAAAGUGCUGAGUUUGAGAAGAUAUGUAAAGAGCAACAAAUUAUAGAUAUUAUCAUGUGUGUCAAUUCAGUAUUGACUGCGUUUUGCCUGUGCCAUCUUUUGUCAUCCCCCAUCUCCACCUUUGAGAUUUCAGAUGAAGUUCAGGCCCCUAUAUCCUUCUUUAGGUACUUCUGAUUCCUCUAUUCAUAUCUUGAAAGUUACUCCUGAGAAGAAGGUUUUGCAAUAUAAGAAGUGUGCAGCAGAGUAAUCAAAUUCCAUACUUAUAGCUAGAAUCAAACCCUCAAAGACAAUUUCUGCAGAGACAGAGCUCUAUUAAAAAUGCAUACCAUAAGAAAAUGCAUUCCAUAGGAAGAUAUGACUUCUCUGACUGAAUUAUUUACAGCCAAGUCAGUGGAUUCAUUUCAGUUUUUCCUCUUACAUAUACACUUGCUCUAUGGGUGAGCAAAUGGCCCAUUAAUCAAAUUUUCCAGGAUGGAAAAAAUAAUCAUUAAAUGAGAAAUUAAUUUAAGUUCUAACCUCUGAAAAUAUAGAAAGUUGUAUUUCAAAUGGCUUCUGGGGAUAUUGUUUAAAAGAAAAAAUACAUUUUAAAAUAAUGAUAGUGAAAUAUGUGCAUAGUAUGUGAGGUCAUGAAUUUUAUUUUUCCAAUUCAUGGAUUAUGGACAUAUGCUCCAAUUUUAUAUAACACAGUGGUUAUAUAAUACACACUAUACAAUACUCAACUAGGCUAAUAACCAUCUUUUAUUCUGCGUUAUUUUUUAAAUUUUAUUUUAUUAAUGUACUUCCCACUUAAUUUUUCUGCUGUUAAUUUGCAAGGUAUUAUUCUGUUGUGUCCAUAUAUUUAUUGUUUUACUUAUCACUUGUUGCUAAAUCUUAAAUUGUUGCUGAAUCCUAAAUUUGAGCCACUUUUUCAAAAUAUUAGAAUAGCCUUAAAGUUUCUAAUUUUCAAGGUUCUUAGACAAAUUUACUAGCAUUUUUCAGAAUAACAUGUGCAUCUGUAAUUUCCCCACAGUUUCCACCACUAGAUGCCAUUUCUGCAAUAUAUAAUAUGAAUAAAACAAGGACUAGUCACUGUUUUCACUGUGUCUCUGUUGAGAUGAAUUACCAAAAGAUCAAGAACUAUCUUCAUGAUUAUAUCCCAGUACCUAUAAUAGAACCCGGAAAAAUAAUAUUACAUAAAUCCUCUGUCAAUGUCAUAAUUCCAACAGGUUUGAAAAUUUUCUGUGCUAUAUGGUAUCUCAAUAAUUCCUGGUCACUUUGAGAACAAAAAUGUUUACUAAUGACAGUUGUCCUCUUAUGAAAAUGUUUGCUCUCUUUGAAAAUCUCUUCAGGGUGGUUUUUUUUUUUUUGUACAAGUAUGUAAAAACCCUUUGUAGCCAUUAAACAAAAGCUGAAGUUUUAAAAGCAUAUGUAAAACUGCAAAUCCAUCUCAGUCUAAACAAUACAGUGUUUGGUAGCUCUACAGAAGCAAAUCUGUUUGAACAUGUGUACAGUUCUCCAGGAUCCUGAGGAGUAUAAACCUGACACUCUCCUACCAAGGAUCAGUCAGAUUUCUAUCUUGGUCUGUUUAAUUACCCUGGUGCAUCUGUCCUUUCUCUUGUACUCUGAUGCACUAUAUACUCUUUACAUCUGUACCUAAGACUUUCUUUUCUAUUAACACCUUCAUCUUAUUUCUUUAGCAGAUUGUAAGAUAAAGAAUUAUAUCUAAGUUGCCUCCCACCUAUAACUGUACAUAUUCUAGUACAAGGAAGGUAUGUGUACUGUUACAAUUCUAAGUAAUCAUUAGAAUGAUACAUGAAAAUAGAUUGUUUUGAAAGUGUGCUGUGAAUGCAAAUUAAAAAUAUAUGUGAUAUAAGCUAAUGAAAUUCUUGGUAGAAGUAAAUUGAAAACCAGUAACAAAAACAUAAGGCUGUGCUUACAUUAGGAUAUGGAAAUUAACCUGAAGUGUCUAAUUUCUCCUCCAAAGGAAAGAGUUCCAAGGGAUAAAGCUGUGGCUUAAUCAGCAGCAUGCAUGCUGGGGUACGCAGGACAUCUUAUCUUUGGUCUUGAGCACUGCCUAAACUUGGUAGACUGACUCAUACCUAUGUUAUGAGGAACAAGAGACCAAGGUCAUUUUCUAUUGCACUGCAAAUGCCAAGCCAGUCUGGGCUACAUUAAACCUGUCUCCAAACAAACAAAUAGAAAACUUUUAAAAAGUAUGAAGUUAGUACCAUAUUUUUCCUCUAAACAAGACUUUCUAAAAGAACAAGUAUACAGUAAACAAAUGUCAGUGCUCAAAAUACAGUGGAAGAAAUUGAGACACAUUAUUAGAAGAACUCGACUGUAUGAGAAUUUGUCAAAGGUUGCACUGCAGUAUGCUUAAAAUAUCCCAGAGAAACUGACUGGGUUUUGAAAGAUAUUUCAUUGAAAAAUAAAGUCACAGAAAACCAAUAAACAUGUAUUUUUCUUUUUCUUAUUCUGGUCAGGAGUAAGAUGUUCUUAGUUACAUAUUCAGUUAGAUGAAAAACAAAGAUUGCCCUGAGAAAAUGCAUGGGUCUUUAGUUUAUAAACACAUGGA